GUCAGCAGUAGUGUAAAGGACAGAGCACGCAUCCCCGGAAAGAGUGAGGUGCGGGUUCUAGUCCCGCCUGACG